CUUAUGCCGGCGACCGGCGGACGGGUGCGUAACGCGUAUGUAACCUACCUUUGACAGGGGGAUAACAUCGAGAAAUUGGUACUAAUACCCCAUAACAUCACCGGAGGCAUCUUCGGUGGUUGAAAACUCAGGUGGUCAGAGAUGGACAUGCGUUGUAUUAGCUAGUUGGUGAGGUAACGGCUCACCAAGGCGACGAUACAUAGGGGGACUGACGAGGUCAACCCCCCACAUUGGUACUGAGACACGGACCAAACUCCUACGGAAGGCAGCAG
rnacentral:rRNA from 1 species